UGGCAGGAUCAGGAGGGAACCAGGGACCAGGAAGGAACCGAGGACCAGGAAGUGCCAGGACCAGUAGCCAGGACCAGAAUGGCCAUCCGGAGGUCCCCUCUCAUGUGUGCUCAACCACUCACCUCCCGCUCCUGAGCAGGGAUCCGAGAAUGUGCUAAGCAUCCCACCGGCCUGGGCCGGGCGGGCCUGUGUAUUGGGUCCAUGUAUAAUAGGGAGGGAUGUCUUUUUUUUUGCUGCCUGCUCCCUGACACUGUUGGGGGUAGGGCGAGAGGUAUUUUCAAGACAUAGCACAGGCACCACAAAUAAAAGUCAUGAAGUUGCAAAAAACAACAAACACAAACGGGGUGAAGGCCAAAUGCCUCUUCUC